UCUAUUUUUAAAAGGCAGAUGAUUGUACAGCAUGUAGGAAUUGAUGAUGAUUUUUAAUAAUCCUAAAGUAAUAGUAAAGUCAACAAUAAAGUAUAUUUUGAUGUAUAUAAUUUUCAUCAAUGAUUACAUAAAAUUGCACUUUGAUAUAAAGUAUGCUUGGAUUGUUUUCAUGUAUGCUAUAUAUUAUUGCAAAUUAGUUCUUCAUAAAAUUGUAUAUUUCUGCUGUGAAAAAGUAUGUAUGCAAUCAUGCAAGUUGUAGGAAAACAUGUACGUGUACUGCACAUGUACCAGGACGACAAGAUAACAAUUAUGACUGUCAAUCAUCAUUUGCUGACUGUAUCUGUCAAGCUGACUACACAGACUAUAGUAGCCAAAGAUAAGUUGUAGAAAGUGUGUUUCAGAGUUGAAUAUAUGAAUUAAAGCAUUGGCACAGUGAAUGGCAGCUGAAAAAUUUUGACCCUUGUUUCUGGAAGUGAAAUGUUAGAUGGUUUGAUGAAGUGCCACAGAGAUUAUCGCUUAAAGAAUGCGUGCAGGCCAACCACCAACACAAGAUAUUAAAAGAGCAAUGAAAAUGAAGAUUUAACUAUAAAGAAAAAUCUGACUAAUAUUAUUACUCAUAACACUUAAUUGUUUCGUAUUAUUGUAAAUUUAUGCGAGUUUUCCUGUAUUCUGUUUAUUUUGCAACUUAUGUUAUUGUAAAUUCAUGUAUGUUUUCAUUCUUGCUCUGUCAUGCAUUUCAUACUAAUUGUUUGUUGUGCAUAUUAAUUAUAUGUGUAUAUUACUUCAUUGAAUUACUGUAUUUGAAUUUUAAUAAACCUUUUUACCAUUCA
rnacentral:lncRNA from 1 species